GCCAUCGGUCACACUGGGAUACUCGAGGAGGCGGCGCGGGGCCUCCAUUCAAUUCCCUAAGAGGGACCCGCGCUGGCCGCGGCAGGCGGGUGGAGAACGCGCGUGGGUCUGCUAACAGGAUAAACAGCGGACCAUACAGGCACGGUGAAAAUGGCAUUUGGUGACGUGGAGGACCCAGCUUGCCACCAUUGAGGCAGCUCUCCUCAGGUUCUUUUGUCUUGGUUAUCCCCGAGCUAUCUUCAGGAACCGACAGGCUACCCCACCCCACGCCCGGAAUGAAGGCCAGUAACUGGAGGCCAGGAAUAAUCAAGCACGCUCUCAUUGCAAGGAGGUGACGAUUGUGCCCGUUUAAAAGGGAUGCCUGAGACCAUGAGGAUUUGGAGUUUUGGAGGCGGAUCUGCCUUUGGGGAGUGAGCGUAGGGCCCUAAGAGGUGGUUGUGCUUUGAGACAGUUCCCGGGGCGAUGUGUCCCAUCAUCCAAACAUUGCAGCAGAAGUCAAAGUUACAGACUCUAGUUUACCUCCAGCUUUAACAUUACCAAAAUAUGGUAUUUGUCAAAAAACGUGUAGUAUCUGUAUAAUUUGAGAAUGUAAUUGAAGAACCCGAUAUAGAGUUUUUAGAAAGGGGAAACAGAAACCUUAAAAAGAAUCUUGCUUGGUUUAUUAAUACCAACAUCUAAAAUAUAACAAAAUUGAAGAAACCAAUGAGUUUUAUACUACGAUUGAAAUAAAAUGCCACUAUGUUCUUAAGAGUGCUAGUUUAACAGGAAAUCUCCAAAGCAUUAUUAUCCAGACUCAUCUCAAAGGUUCACUUUUCAUUUGCAUGAGCCCUUGCUAUUUGGAGGGUAGGAGGGUGCACCUCGUUCUGGUGGCUGCCACCUUGAUGAGGAGACACUCCUUGUUAACAGGAUGGUUAGCCCACGGCUUUUCUCAGCCCCAUUUUCCACACCCAGUAAAUUGUUUUAGUUUGUGGACCUCAGCUGCAGUUGCAAUCAUCAUCAAAUUCCAAUUUUGAAUUUAAAGGUGAAUAAUGAAUGCAAUGAACUUUCUAGAAUUUAUGAAGGGCAGUGAUGUUCCUUUUAUCUAAUACUUCUACCUGUGUAGCCUUUCAGCAUGCUAUUUUGUGGACUGAAUUUACAAAUUGUCAUUUGUUUAAUGAACUGUAAAUAUAACAUGAUGACUAAUUGAGAACACAUACAAUUUGCUGGUAUUCCAGAAGUCUAUGGAUUUUGUUGUUUUGUUUAUAUAAAAGGCAUUAAAAGCAGCUGCUUAGUAUAAUUACCUUCUUUACUCCGCAUAGGGUAGAGGUGAAAAAACCUUCUUAAGCUUAAUUUGGCAAUUUAUGUAACCUUUUGUUUUUGGAAUACAGACAGUUUUCUUCCCCUUUACAUUCCUGUUCUUUAGAGAGCUUAAAUCCUAAGUUUCCGACUUGUGAUUUAAACUCCACAUGAGAUAACAGGUUGGAAUUUUAUCUUUAAUAAUUUUAUUUACAACUCAAAAGUUUUAAGUUUCAAAACAUUUAGUCAUAGUAACUCCUAUAAUAGUGUUUAUUUAAUCCAUCUUGGAGAUUUUCUAUUUCUGUAUCAUUGAUAUAUUUAACUAUCCAUUUGACUGUUAAUGACUAAAAAAGGGGGAAACAUUAACUUUACUGCAAUCAGGAAAACUCUUUCAAACUGUUAUACAAAAGAAAAUAUAUGGUGUAUGAACACCCAUGUAUUUUUAAAUAGUAAAUAACAGGUAAACCAAAGCUCAGAUAAAAUACAACUUUUAAAUAUAUAUAUAUAAUUAAUUGUUAGUGAACUGGCUAAAAUAAAGAUACAGGUUGGCUUUU